rnacentral:rRNA from 1 species
CCUACGGGGGGCAGCAGUGGGGAAUAUUGCACAAUGGGGGAAACCCUGAUGCAGCGACGCCGCGUGUGGGAAGACGGUCCUCUGGAUUGUAAACCACUGUCCCCAGGGACGAAGAUGACGGUACCUGGGGAGGAAGCUCCGGCUAACUACGUGCCAGCAGCCGCGGUAAAACGUAGGGAGCGAGCGUUGUCCGGAAUUACUGGGUGUAAGGGGAGCGUAGGCGGGACUGCAAGUUGGCUGUCAAAUCUACCGGCUCAACCGGUAGCCGCACUCAAAACUGCAGUUCUUGAGUGAAGUAGAGGCAGGCGGAAUUCCGAGUGUAGCGGUGAAAUGCGUAGAUAUUAGGAGGAACACCAGUGGCGAAGGCGGCCUGCUGGGCUUUUACUGACGCUGAGGCUCGAAAGUGUGGGGAGCAAACAGGAUUAGAUACCCGUGUAGUC